rnacentral:miRNA from 1 species
AAAAACUGUGAUUACUUUUGC